rnacentral:lncRNA from 1 species
AGUCUCCUGAGCAUAAGGAUGGGAACAGAAGAGCAUAACCUCAGAUGCAAUAGAAAGCAGCUGGAGAAGAUGAUUCUUAACAAAGAAAAGGAUCAGUAGGAGAACAGGAUUUGGCCCAUUAGACUUCAUUUGCAAUGUGGGGAGGUUGUGAAAAUACCACUUUUAAAAAGCUAGCUGCAAUCUGUCAUUUAAUUUCAAGAGUCCCUGCAGCACUGAGAUUCAGGUGCCCACUGACAGCAGCUGCCCUGGACCCGAGCAGUGCCCUUUGUGCAGUCUCUGCUGCUCAGCACUGAC